rnacentral:piRNA from 1 species
UUAGCUUUAUAUUCCUUGGCUCAGUGGUU